UGAGGAAUCUUGCGCAAUGGGGGAAACCCUGACGCAGCAACGCCGCGUGAGUGAGGAAGGCCUUCGGGUCGUAAAGCUCUGUCAGAUGGGAAGAAAUGGGUGGGGGCUAAUAUCGUCCACCCUUGACGGUACCAUCAGAGGAAGCACCGGCUAACUCCGUGCCAGCAGCCGCGGUAAUACGGGGGGUGCAAGCGUUGUUCGGAAUCAUUGGGCGUAAAGCGCGCGCAGGCGGCUUGGUAAGUCAGAUGUGAAAGCCCUGGGCUUAACCCAGGAAGUGCAUUUGAUACUGCCUCGCUAGAGUACGGGAGAGGAAAGUGGAAUUCCUGGUAUAGAGGUGAAAUUCGUAGAUAUCAGGAGGAACACCGGUGGCGAAGGCGACUUUCUGGCCCGAUACUGACGCUCAGGCGCGAAAGCGUCGGGAGCAAACAG
rnacentral:rRNA from 1 species